rnacentral:rRNA from 1 species
AAAACAACAAGGAUUCCCCUAGUAGGGGCGAGCGAAGCGGGUAGAGCUCAAAAGUAUAAUCUGGCACUUUCAGUGUCCGAGUUGUAAUCUCUAGAAGUGUUUUUCUCAUUGGACCGCACACAAGUUUGUUGGAAUACAGCGGCACAGUGGUGAGACCCCCGUAUACGGUGCGGAUGCCCAAUGCUUUGUGAUACACUUUCGAAGAGUCGAGUUGUUUGGGAAUGCAGCUCAAAUUGGGUGGUAAAUUCCAUCUAAAGCUAAAUAUUGGCGAGAGACCGAUAGCGAACAAGUACCGUGAGGGAAAGAUGAAAAGCACUUUGGAAAGAGAGUUAACAGUACGUGAAAUUGUUGGAAGGGAAACGCUUGAAGUCAGACUUGCUAUUCGGGGCUUGCUCCGAGUUGCAGGCCAGCAUCAGUUUUCUGGGGUGGAAAAUCACGGUUAGAAGGUAGCAACUCCGGUUGUGUUAUAGCUUUCCGUUGGAUACAUCCUGGGGGACUGAGGAACGCAGUGUGCUUUUAGCAGGAGCUUCGGCUUCAUCACACUUAGGAUGCUGGUGGAAUGGCUUUAAAC